rnacentral:rRNA from 1 species
GCGUGCCUAAUACAUGCAAGUCGAACGCUUUUUCUUUCACCGGAGCUUGCUCCACCGAAAGAAAAAGAGUGGCGAACGGGUGAGUAACACGUGGGUAACCUGCCCAUCAGAAGGGGAUAACACUUGGAAACAGGUGCUAAUACCGUAUAACACUAUUUUCCGCAUGGAAGAAAGUUGAAAGGCGCUUUUGCGUCACUGAUGGAUGGACCCGCGGUGCAUUAGCUAGUUGGUGAGGUAACGGCUCACCAAGGCCACGAUGCAUAGCCGACCUGAGAGGGUGAUCGGCCACACUGGGACUGAGACACGGCCCAGACUCCUACGGGAGGCAGCAGUAGGGAAUCUUCGGCAAUGGACGAAAGUCUGACCGAGCAACGCCGCGUGAGUGAAGAAGGUUUUCGGAUCGUAAAACUCUGUUGUUAGAGAAGAACAAGGAUGAGAGUAGAACGUUCAU